UCUCCAAAAUCUUUCUGCGGUGUUAAAAUAUUGUAUGGAGACAGAUUUAAUGUUAAUUUAAAAAAAGUGCCAUGCUAUAGAUCGAGAAGAGAUGAUGUCGAAACACAGUAUACUGGAGAAAGAAAUUACGGUAAAAUAGGAUAUAGUUGAAGAAAUUCUUAAACUACUACCCCCAAUCUCAAUCCAACAAACACAAUCCCUUCCUGAUCAUUAUGAAGACUAUGAUCAUAUUUUUAGAUCCUGGUAUUGCGUGCUUGCCC
rnacentral:lncRNA from 1 species